AUUGAACGCUGGCGGCAGGCCUAACACAUGCAAGUCGAACGAGUGGCGGACGGGUGAGUAAUGUCUGGGAAACUGCCUGAUGGAGGGGGAUAACUACUGGAAACGGUAGCUAAUACCGCAUACCAUCAGAUUUGCCCAGAUGGGAUUAGCUAGUGGGUGGGGUAACGGCUCACCAAGGCGACGAUCCCUAGCUGGUCUGAGAGGAUGACCGGCCACACUGGAACUGAGACACGGUCCAGACUCCGACGGGAGGCAGCAGUAGGGAAUCUUGCGCAAUGGGCGAAAGCCUGAUGGAGCAAUGCCGCGUGUGUGAAGAAGGCUGUCGGAUUGUAAAGUACUUUUGGCGGGGAGGCGUUACCCAACGAGAAAGCAACGGCUAACUACGUGCCAGCAGCCGCGGUAAUAC
rnacentral:rRNA from 1 species